GUAGGCAGUGUUAGAUGUGUAGAAGGGAAAGAGAUGAGUAUUGAAAUUGUAGAUAUGACUCACAACAUGAACUGCACAAUGUAGGUCGUCGGCAGCGUCAGGUGUGUAUAAGAGACAAGGCCCGCACAAGCGGCGGAGCAUGCGGAUUAAUUCGACGCAACGCGAAGAACCUUACCAAGGCUUGACAUAUAGAGGAAAAGUGUAGAAAUACACUCCCCGCAAGGUCUGUAUACAGGUGGUGCAUGGUUGUCGUCAGCUCGUGUCGUGAGAUGUUGGGUUAAGUCCCGCAACGAGCGCAACCCUCGUCCUAUGUUGCCAGCACGUAAUGGUGGGAACUCAUAGGAGACUGCCGGUGACAAACCGGAGGAAGGUGGGGACGACGUCAAGUCAUCAUGGCCCUUACGACCUGGGCUACACACGUGCUACAAUGGCCGGUACAGAGGGCUGCUAACCCGCGAGGGGGCGCUAAUCCCACAAAACCGGUCGUAGUCCGGAUCGCAGUCUGCAACUCGACUGCGUGAAGUCGGAAUCGCUAGUAAUCGCAGAUCAGAAUGCUGCGGUGAAUACGUUCCCGGGCCUUGUACACACCGCCCGUCACACCACGGGAGUGGGUUGCAAAAGAAGUGGGUAGUCUAACCUUCGGGGGGACGCUCACCACUUUGUGAUUCAUGACUGGGGUGAAGUCGUAACAAGGUAGCCCUAGGGGAACCUGGGGCUG
rnacentral:rRNA from 1 species